CUUUCUCAGAACCACCUGGGCUCACUUGAGAUUCGUGGCCUUGAUUGUUUCAAGACUCCACCACGCUGCCUCUCCUGCUCUGGUGUGUCUUCCUCUGCCGGCUGCAGCCUAAAUACUGCCUCUCUAGAUCUCACCCACCACUUCCUGCUUCCAGAAAAUCAAAGCAGAAUGUCCCUGGACUUCAAGGGAGGAACUGCUUCUAACAGAGGGGACAAGAGAAACAGACUCCGCCCUUCUCCUCCAGGGCCAGGGACAUCCAGGUGCCCUCCUGCUUUCUGACCUUUGGCA
rnacentral:lncRNA from 1 species